GUGAACGCUGGCGGUAGGCCUAACACAUGCAAGUCGAACGGCAGCACAGUAAGAGCUUGCUCUUACGGGUGGCGAGUGGCGGACGGGUGAGGAAUACAUCGGAAUCUACUUUUUCGUGGGGGAUAACGUAGGGAAACUUACGCUAAUACCGCAUACGACCUACGGGUGAAAGCAGGGGAUCUUCGGACCUUGCGCGAUUGAAUGAGCCGAUGUCGGAUUAGCUAGUUGGCGGGGUAAAGGCCCACCAAGGCGACGAUCCGUAGCUGGUCUGAGAGGAUGAUCAGCCACACUGGAACUGAGACACGGUCCAGACUCCUACGGGAGGCAGCAGUGGGGAAUAUUGGACAAUGGGCGCAAGCCUGAUCCAGCCAUACCGCGUGGGUGAAGAAGGCCUUCGGGUUGUAAAGCCCUUUUGUCGGGAAAGAAAAGCAGCAGGUUAAUACCCCGCUGUUCUGACGGUACCCAAGGAAUAAGCACCGGCUAACUUCGUG
rnacentral:rRNA from 1 species